rnacentral:tRNA from 1 species
GAGAAGAUACUAAGACCUGCUAACUCUUUAAUCUGGAACUAAACCACCAGUCUUCUCU